ensembl:misc_RNA Metazoa_SRP Metazoan signal recognition particle RNA
GCCAGGCAUGGUGGUGGGUGCCUGUAAUCCCAGCUACUUGGGAGGCUGAGGCAGGAGAAUCGCUUGAACCCGGGAGGCAGAGGUUGCAGUGAGCUAAGAUCUUGCCACUGCACUCCAGCCUGGGCUACAGAGCGAGACUCUGUCUCAA